CUUCCGGGUACCUCACUCAUGGAGAUGUAUUGGGUUACACAUGUUUAUGGUUUACACAAAGCGUACAAGGAAAGAUUAAGCAGUUGUACAAAGCCGAAGGGUUCUCCGACGUACGAUGGAUGAAUUGAGUGUCAUAAAAGCUUGGAUGCGAGCAUCCAGGAGGAGAAUUUCGAUCGAAGUACAGCUAAAGUACAAGAGAACUGCAGCACCGAAGACUACAUGUACAUCGAUUUGAUUAAUCUGUAUCCUCAAAAGGCAAAUCAAAUACAGAAAAUGCAUAUAAUUUGGAAAAGAGACCACCAAUCCACUGGGGGGUAUCACAUGAAAGCAAUGGUAUUACAGAAUAUUGUAAA